GACGAACCGUGCGAACGUUAUUCGGAAUCACUGGGCUUAAAGCGCGUGUAGGCGGGACGGCACGUCGGUCGCUGAAAUCCCCCGGCUUAACCGGGGAACGGGCGCCGAUACGACCGCCCUGGAGGGACGUAGGGGGACCUGGAACUUCCGGUGGAGCGGUGAAAUGCGUUGAGAUCGGAAGGAACGCCCGUGGCGAAAGCGAGGUCCUGGACGUCUUCUGACGCUGAGAGUGCGAAAAGCCAGGGGGAGCGAACGGG
rnacentral:rRNA from 1 species